rnacentral:rRNA from 1 species
CCUACGGGAGGCAGCAGUGGGGAAUAUUGCACAAUGGGGGAAACCCUGAUGCAGCGACGCCGCGUGAGCGAUGAAGUAUUUCGGUAUGUAAAGCUCUAUCAGCAGGGAAGAAAAUGACGGUACCUGACUAAGAAGCCCCGGCUAACUACGUGCCAGCAGCCGCGGUAAUACGUAGGGGGCAAGCGUUAUCCGGAUUUACUGGGUGUAAAGGGAGCGUAGACGGCGGUGCAAGCCAGAUGUGAAAGCCCGGGGCCAAAACCCGGGCCUGCCGUUGUAACUGUGCUGCUAGAGUGUCGGAGAGGCAGGCGGAAUGCGUAGUGGAGCGGUGAAAUGCGUAGAUAUUAGGAGGAACACCAGUGGCGAAGGCGGCCUGCUGGACGAUGACUGACGUUGAGGCUCGAAAGCGUGGGGAGCAAACAGGAUUAGAUACCCCAGUAGUC